GACGAACGCUGGCGGCGUGCUUAACACAUGCAAGUCGAACGGAAAGGCCCUGCUUUUGUGGGGUGCUCGAGUGGCGAACGGGUGAGUAACACGUGAGUAACCUGCCCUUGACUUUGGGAUAACUUCAGGAAACUGGGGCUAAUACCGGAUAGGAGCUCCUGCUGCAUGGUGGGGGUUGGAAAGUUUCGGCGGUUGGGGAUGGACUCGCGGCUUAUCAGCUUGUUGGUGGGGUAGUGGCUUACCAAGGCUUUGACGGGUAGCCGGCCUGAGAGGGUGACCGGCCACAAUGGGACUGAGGUAAGACCCAGACUCCUGAGGGAGGCAGCAGUGGGGAAUAUUGAACAAUGGGCGGAAGCCUGAUGCAGCAACGCCGCGUGCGGGAUGACGGCCUUCGGGUUGAAAACCGCUUUCGCCUGGGACGAAGCGUGAGUGACGGUAAUGGGUAAAGAAGCACCGGCUAACUACGUG
rnacentral:rRNA from 1 species